rnacentral:tRNA from 1 species
GCCCCGGUGGCGGAAUUGGUAGACGCGACGGAUUUAGGUUCCGUUGCCGCAAGGUGUGGAGGUUCGAGUCCUCUCCGGGGCACCA